AUAUGGCAAAUGGCAGAGAAUAUAUACCACGAUGAAGAUGACAUACCUGGAGAUGAAUCCACCAAAGGAUCCUAGUGUAUUUUCAAUGUUUUGGGAGCCUAUGAAGUAGGAUAAAUGUCAAUUAUAAAAUAGGGGCCUUAGGAUUGUUGAUUUUGCUUUUUUUUCUUGUUAUAUAACCAGUGUUAUUUGUUUUUUGAAUCUGACCUCCCAAAUUUGUUUGCCCCCCCACUGGAAGCCUCUGGUUGAACUGGAAGCAGUGUAUUAAUAAUAAUAUAUGUAGAAUUUUGUUCUCUAUUUGCAUACACAUAGCAGCAACAUAUUGCUUAAAUUUAAGGGUUGAUUCAAAAAACAAAUAACACUGGU
rnacentral:misc_RNA from 1 species